rnacentral:rRNA from 1 species
GAGAGUUUGAUCCUGGCUCAGGAUGAACGCUAGCUACAGGCUUAACACAUGCAAGUCGAGGGGCAGCAUGGUCUUAGCUUGCUAAGGCCGAUGGCGACCGGCGCACGGGUGAGUAACACGUAUCCAACCUGCCGUCUACUCUUGGACAGCCUUCUGAAAGGAAGAUUAAUACAAGAUGGCAUCAUGAGUCCGCAUGUUCACAUGAUUAAAGGUAUUCCGGUAGACGAUGGGGAUGCGUUCCAUUAGAUAGUAGGCGGGGUAACGGCCCACCUAGUCUUCGAUGGAUAGGGGUUCUGAGAGGAAGGUCCCCCACAUUGGAACUGAGACACGGUCCAAACUCCUACGGGAGGCAGCAGUGAGGAAUAUUGGUCAAUGGGCGAGAGCCUGAACCAGCCAAGUAGCGUGAAGGAUGACUGCCCUAUGGGUUGUAAACUUCUUUUAUAAAGGAAUAAAGUCGGGUAUGGAUACCCGUUUGCAUGUACUUUAUGAAUAAGGAUCGGCUAACUCCGUGCCAGCAGCCGCGGUAAUACGGAGGAUCCGAGCGUUAUCCGGAUUUAUUGGGUUUAAAGGGAGCGUAGAUGGAUGUUUAAGUCAGUUGUGAAAGUUUGCGGCUCAACCGUAAAAUUGCAGUUGAUACUGGAUAUCUUGAGUGCAGUUGAGGCAGGCGGAAUUCGUGGUGUAGCGGUGAAAUGCUUAGAUAUCACGAAGAACUCCGAUUGCGAAGGCAGCCUGCUAAGCUGCAACUGACAUUGAGGCUCGAAAGUGUGGGUAUCAAACAGGAUUAGAUACCCUGGUAGUCCACACGGUAAACGAUGAAUACUCGCUGUUUGCGAUAUACUGCAAGCGGCCAAGCGAAAGCGUUAAGUAUUCCACCUGGGGAGUACGCCGGCAACGGUGAAACUCAAAGGAAUUGACGGGGGCCCGCACAAGCGGAGGAACAUGUGGUUUAAUUCGAUGAUACGCGAGGAACCUUACCCGGGCUUAAAUUGCAGAUGAAUUACGGUGAAAGCCGUAAGCCGCAAGGCAUCUGUGAAGGUGCUGCAUGGUUGUCGUCAGCUCGUGCCGUGAGGUGUCGGCUUAAGUGCCAUAACGAGCGCAACCCUUGUUGUCAGUUACUAACAGGUUCCGCUGAGGACUCUGACAAGACUGCCAUCGUAAGAUGUGAGGAAGGUGGGGAUGACGUCAAAUCAGCACGGCCCUUACGUCUGGGGCUACACACGUGUUACAAUGGGGGGUACAGAGGGCCGCUACCACGCGAGUGGAUGCCAAUCCCCAAAACCUCUCUCAGUUCGGACUGGAGUCUGCAACCCGACUCCACGAAGCUGGAUUCGCUAGUAAUCGCGCAUCAGCCACGGCGCGGUGAAUACGUUCCCGGGCCUUGUACACACCGCCCGUCAAGCCAUGGGAGCCGGGGGUACCUGAAGUGCGUAACCGCGAGGAGCGCCCUAGGGUAAAACUGGUGACUGGGGCUAAGUCGUAACAAGGUAGCCG